rnacentral:lncRNA from 1 species
CUUGGAACAUGUCUGGUAUUGGGAAUUCAACAUGUGUAUUCCAAAUGACAAAACCACUUAACAAUCCAACACAAGGAUUUUCUUUUUUGGUACAUAAUUACUCCUGUAGCUUCCUUAACUCUGUUUGUUGAUUUGUAUUGGAACCAAUCCGAUCCGUCCCCAAAUCGAAAAAUGGGACGUCAAAAGCCUACUGGGGAUUGCCCAUUGAAUAACCCAGAAAAUCAAAACCCAUUCCCUGUUUUCUGUUCUUGCCUCUUGCAACCAAAACCCAAUUUCGUUUGGUGAAUAUAUGUAUAAUAUUUUCAUUAAAUAAACACAUGUAAAGAAAUUCAAAACCCAAUUUGCAAAAUUACCGUUUCCUUCCACUGUGGCCGAACUUGGUUUUUGUGCGAUCUUCUUCCGCAGAUGCCAUAAGGUUUUUUGAAUCAAUUUCUCCAUUAUCGUAUGAUAUACAAAUAGAAGAAAUCGAACAUCAUUUUGUAGCUGCCCGGAUCGACAGUUUGGGUAGCCUAAGAAGGCAUGAAAAUGUCGCCGGCGAAGGCAGUGUUGCCAUAAAAUUGGCUGUCGGCUUUUCCUCCUUUUAUUGUGGUCGAUUUUAUCUUUUUCCUUUUUUUUCCCGUUUCUUUUGAUGAAUUAAUUGGGAUGUGAAUUGAUGAUGUUGAAGGAGGAAAAGAAAAUUUGUAACCGGUUUAAAUGAAAAUCGUUGAAGUGGACUCUUAUGAGGCAGAAACAUUAACUUAGAUUAGGACCUGUUUUUGGGUAAUUUUGUACUGAAAGCUAGGGCAAUAUUAUCGACAAUUUGAGGUUUUAGUUGUUUAGCUUUAGGAGACAAGGUUCUCU